rnacentral:rRNA from 1 species
UACGAAGGGGGCGAGCGUUGUUCGGAUUUACUGGGCGUAAAGGGCGCGUAGGCGGCCCUCCUUGUCGCGUGUGAAAGCCCCGGGCUCAACCUGGGAAUUGCGCGCGAAACGGGGGGGCUUGAGUUCGGGAGAGGGGCGUGGAAUUCCCAGUGUAGAGGUGAAAUUCGUAGAUAUUGGGAAGAACACCGGUGGCGAAGGCGGCGCUCUGGACCGAGACUGACGCUGAGGCGCGAAAGCGUGGGGAGCAAACAGGG